rnacentral:snRNA from 1 species
UUACUUUGCUGCCAGGGGGGCUAUGAUGAACCACAUAGGUGCCCCUCCCAGGGUAACGAUCAGUCACUGCACUGCCGCUGCUCUGACCCCUGCAGUGUCCCCAAAUAUGGGCAUCCCAGCUGCAGAAUUUAUUGCAUUCGCAAUCUCUCCUGAUGAUCUUUUGCAG